rnacentral:rRNA from 1 species
UACGAAGGGGGCGAGCGUUGUUCGGAAUUACUGGGCGUAAAGGGCGCGUAGGCGGCGAUCCUAGUCAGAUGUGAAAGUCCUGGGCUUAACCUGGGGACUGCAUUUGAUACUGGAUGCUUGAAUGCAGGAGAGGAUAGCGGAAUUCCCAGUGUAGAGGUGAAAUUCGUAGAUAUUGGGAAGAACACCGGGUGGCGAAGGCGGCGACCUGGUCCUUGACUGACGCUGAGGCGCGAAAGCGUGGGGAGCAAACAGG